rnacentral:rRNA from 1 species
GAAACAGUGGCUAAGACUGGAUAGGGAAGAUAAAAGGCAUCUUUUAUCUUUUAAAAGACCUAGUAAUAGGUAUGCUUUAGGAGGGGCUUGCGCCAUAUUAGUUAGUUGGUAGGGUAAUGGCCUACCAAGACGAUGAUGUGUAGCUGGACUGAGAAGUUGAACAGCCACAUUGGGACUGAGACACGGCCCAAACUCCUACGGGAGGCAGCAGUAGGGAAUUUUCGGCAAUGGAGGAAACUCUGACCGAGCAACGCCGCGUGAAUGACGAAGUACUUCGGUAUGUAAAGUUCUUUUAUCAAGGAAGAAAAGCAAAUGGCGAACCAUUUGUUUGCCGGUACUUGAUGAAUAAGCCCCGGCUAAUUAUGUGCCAGCAGCCGCGGUAAGACAUAAGGGGCAAGUGUUAUCCGGAAUUAUUGGGCGUAAAGGGUGCGUAGGCGGUCUAGUAAGUCAGUGGUGUAAUGGCAACGCUUAACGUUGUCCGGCUAUUGAAACUGCUAAACUUGAGUUAGAUAGAGGCGAGUGGAAUUCCAUGUGUAGCGGUAAAAUGCGUAAAUAUAUGGAGGAACACCAGAGGCGUAGGCGGCUCGCUGGGUCUUAACUGACGCUGAGGCACGAAAGCGUGGGGAGCAAACAGGAUUAGAUACCCUGGUAGUCCACGCCGUAAACGAUGAGUACUAAGUGUCGGGUUAAACCGGUACUGAAGUUAACACAUUAAGUACUCCGCCUGAGUAGUACGUACGCAAGUAUGAAACUUAAAGGAAUUGACGGGACUCCGCACAAGCGGUGGAUCAUGUUGUUUAAUUCGAAGAUACCCGAAAAACCUUACCAGGUCUUGACAUGUUUUUGCAAAAUGAUAGUAAUAUCGUGGAGGUUACCAGAAACACAGGUGGUGCAUGGUUGUCGUCAGCUCGUGUCGUGAGAUGUUAGGUUAAGUCCUAAAACGAGCGAAACCCUUAUCGUUAGUUGCCAGCACGUUAUGGUGGGGACUUUAACGAGACUGCCAAUGAUAAAUUGGAGGAAGGUGAGGAUCACGUCAAAUCAGCAUGCCCCUUAUGACCUGGGCUACAAACGUGAUACAAUGGCUGUUACAAAGGGUAGCUGAAACGCAAGUUCUUGGCCAAUCCCCAAAAACAGUCCCAGUCCGGAUUGAAGUCUGCAACUCGACUUCAUGAAGUUGGAAUCGCUAGUAAUCGCGAAUCAGCAUGUCGCGGUGAAUACGUUCUCGGGGUUUGUACACACCGCCCGUCA